rnacentral:rRNA from 1 species
UACAGGGGGUGCAAACGUUGCUCGGAAUUAUUGGGCGUAAAGCGCACGUAGGCGGCUUUGCAAGUCGGGUGUGAAAGCCCUCAGCUCAACUGAGGAAGUGCGCCCGAAACUGCCGAGCUUGAGUGCCGGAGAGGGUGGCGGAAUUCCCCAAGUAGAGGUGAAAUUCGUAGAUAUGGGGAGGAACACCGGUGGCGAAGGCGGCCACCUGGACGGUAACUGACGCUGAGACGCGAAAGCGUGGGGAGCAAACAGG